rnacentral:rRNA from 1 species
UAAAAAAGGUUUACCAGAUGACUACAAGUUCGUUCUUAAAAGUCAAAUGAAUUGGCGGAUCGGGNCUAAAACGUACAGGGGAAUCUGGGCGUUAAAGGACGCCCCGCCUACAUUUGUUCCUUAACUUAGCUUCUGCACCUGUAUGGCCGUUUGCAACUACCGUGCGUAAGGCGUGUGUUCAGUCGGUCGCUGUUUAGGGACCCUUAAACUGCUUUACGGAGCGGUUAAAAGGGCUCUUUCGUUGACCAAAGAAGACAGGUUGUCAUUGGUCUACUGUUAAGGCUAGUCUGGAUUACAGUUGAGAUUGAGCACAUCGGAUUUACUUAGGAAACUUUGUAAUGAAGGAGGACUUGUGAGUAAAAUUGUUAAAUAAUGGCAAUUUGAACGAUGUCCGAUAG